rnacentral:rRNA from 1 species
GCAAGAUUAAAACUCAAAGGAAUAGACGGGGACCCGCACAAGCGGUGGAGCAUGUGGUUUAAUUCGACGAUACGCGAAGAACCUUACCUGGCCUUGACAUAGACAGAAUUUUCCAGAGACGGAAAAGUGCUAGUUUACUAGAACUGUCAUACAGGUGCUGCACGGCUGUCGUCAGCUCGUGUCGUGAGAUGUUGGGUUAAGUCCCGCAACGAGCGCAACCCUCGUGUUUAGUUACUAACAGUUCGGCUGAGGACUCUAGACAGACUGCCUGGGUAACCAGGAGGAAGGUGAGGACGACGUCAAGUCAUCAUGGCCCUUACGGCCAGGGCUACACACGUGCUACAAUGGGGUAUACAAAGGGCUGCAAUACGGUGACGUGGAGCAAAUCUCAUAAAAUAUCUCCCAGUUCGGAUUGAAGUCUGCAACUCGACUUCAUGAAGUUGGAAUCGCUAGUAAUCGUAGAUCAGCAAUGCUACGGUGAAUACGUUCCCGGGUCUUGUACUCACCGCCCGUCACACCAUGGGAAUUGAAUUCAUUCGAAGCGGGGAUGCUAAAAUAGCUACCUUCCACAGUGGAUUUAGUAACUAGGGUGAAGUCGUAACAAGGUA